UAUUAGAUUUUAUAAGCUGAAUACCACAAGAGAUAUACAGUAGAACACGCAUCACGAGAAUAAAACAA
rnacentral:sRNA from 1 species